rnacentral:rRNA from 1 species
GACGAACGCUGGCGGCGUGCCUAAUACAUGCAAGUAGAACGCACAGGAUGCACCGUAGUUUACUACACCGUAUUCUGUGAGUUGCGAACGGGUGAGUAACGCGUAGGUAACCUGCCUGGUAGCGGGGGAUAACUAUUGGAAACGAUAGCUAAUACCGCAUAAGAACAUUUACUGCAUGGUAGAUGUUUAAAAGGUGCAAAUGCAUCACUACCAGAUGGACCUGCGUUGUAUUAGCUAGUAGGUGAGGUAACGGCUCACCUAGGCGACGAUACAUAGCCGACCUGAGAGGGUGAUCGGCCACACUGGGACUGAGACACGGCCCAGACUCCUACGGGAGGCAGCAGUAGGGAAUCUUCGGCAAUGGGGGGAACCCUGACCGAGCAACGCCGCGUGAGUGAAGAAGGUUUUCGGAUCGUAAAGCUCUGUUGUUAAGGAAGAACGAGUGUGAGAAUGGAAAGUUCAUACUGUGACGGUACUUAACCAGAAAGGGGCGGCUAACUACGUGCCAGCAGCCGCGGUAAUACGUAGGUCCCGAGCGUUGUCCGGAUUUAUUGGGCGUAAAGCGAGCGCAGGCGGUUAGAUAAGUCUGAAGUUAAAGGCAGUGGCUCAACCAUUGUAGGCUUUGGAAACUGUUUAACUUGAGUGCAGAAGGGGAGAGUGGAAUUCCAUGUGUAGCGGUGAAAUGCGUAGAUAUAUGGAGGAACACCGGUGGCGAAAGCGGCUCUCUGGUCUGUAACUGACGCUGAGGCUCGAAAGCGUGGGGAGCGAACAGG